rnacentral:rRNA from 1 species
GACGAACGCUGGCGGCGUGCCUAAUACAUGCAAGUCGAACGCACAGUUUAUACCGUAGCUUGCUACACCAUAGACUGUGAGUUGCGAACGGGUGAGUAACGCGUAGGUAACCUGCCUGGUAGCGGGGGAUAACUAUUGGAAACGAUAGCUAAUACCGCAUAAUAUUAAUUAUUGCAUGAUAAUUAAUUGAAAGGUGCAAUUGCACCACUACCAGAUGGACCUGCGUUGUAUUAGCUAGUAGGUGAGGUAACGGCUCACCUAGGCGACGAUACAUAGCCGACCUGAGAGGGUGGUCGGCCACACUGGGACUGGGACACGGCCCAGACUCCUACGGGAGGCGGCAGUAGGGAAUCUUCGGCAAUGGACGAAAGUCUGACCGAGCAACGCCGCGUGAGUGAAGAAGGUUUUCGGAUCGUAAAGCUCUGUUGUAAGAGAAGAACGGGUGUGAGAGUGGAAAGUUCACACUGUGACGGUAUCUUACCAGAAAGGGACGGCUAACUACGUG